rnacentral:rRNA from 1 species
CCAGACUCCUACGGGAGGCAGCAGUGGGGGAUAUUGGACAAUGGGGGGAACCCUGAUCCAGCGACGCCGCGUGAGUGAAGAAGUAUCUCGGUAUGUAAAGCUCUAUCAGCAGGGAAGAAAGAAAUGACGGUACCUGAGUAAGAAGCCCCGGCUAACUACGUGCCAGCAGCCGCGGUAAUACGUAUGGAGCAAGCGUUAUCCGGAUUUACUGGGUGUAAAGGGAGCGCAGGCGGCGCGCCAAGUCUGGUGUGAAGCCCCGGGGCUCAACCCCGGGACUGCAUUGGAAACUGGCGGGCUGGAGUGUCGGAGGGGCAGGCGGAAUUCCUGGUGUAGCGGUGAAGUGCGUAGAUAUUAGGAGGAACACCAGUGGCGAAGGCGGCUUACUGGACAGUAACUGACGUUGAGGCUCGAAAGCGUGGGGAGCAAACAGGAUUAGAUACCCGUGUA